rnacentral:tRNA from 1 species
UUUCAGAAUCGCGUCUGUCCAAAGCUUAUGGCCUAAACCAUAUCUAGUGUGCCAACCAUAAU